rnacentral:rRNA from 1 species
UACGGAGGGUGCAAGCGUUAUCCGGAUUCACUGGGUUUAAAGGGUGCGUAGGCGGGCAGGUAAGUCCGUGGUGAAAUCUCUGAGCUUAACUCAGAAACUGCCAUGGAUACUAUUUGUCUUGAAUAUUGUGGAGGUAAGCGGAAUAUGUCAUGUAGCGGUGAAAUGCUUAGAUAUGACAUAGAACACCAAUUGCGAAGGCAGCUGGCUACACAAAUAUUGACACUGAGGCACGAAAGCGUGGGGAUCAAACAGG